UACGUAGGGUGCGAGCGUUGUCCGGAAUUAUUGGGCGUAAAGAGCUCGUAGGCGGUUUGUCGCGUCGGCCGUGAAAACUUGGGGCUUAACCCCGAGCCUGCGGUCGAUACGGGCAGACUUGAGUUCGGCAGGGGAGACUGGAAUUCCUGGUGUAGCGGUGAAAUGCGCAGAUAUCAGGAGGAACACCGGUGGCGAAGGCGGGUCUCUGGGCCUUACCUGACGCUGAGGAGCGAAAGCGUGGGGAGCGAACAGG
rnacentral:rRNA from 1 species